AGAGUUUGAUCCUGGCUCAGGAUAAACGCUGGCGGCGCACAUAAGACAUGCAAGUCGAACGGAAGUCGUUACGAAAUGGAAUGAAGAUUUAUCUGAUUGAAGUUUUGUAACAAUGGCUUUAGUGGCGGACUGGUGAGUAACACGUAAGCAAUCUACCUAUUAGAGGGGAAUAACAAUGAGAAAUCAUUGCUAAUACCGCAUAAGCUUGUAGUACCGCAUGGUACAGCAAGAAAAGGAGCAAUCCGCUAAUAGAUGAGCUUGCGGCUGAUUAGCUAGUUGGUGUGGUAACGGCAUACCAAGGCAACGAUCAGUAGCCGGGCUGAGAGGCUCUUCGGCCACAUUGGGACUGAGAUACGGCCCAGACUCCUACGGGAGGCAGCAGUCGGGAAUUUUGCGCAAUGGAGGAAACUCUGACGCAGUGACGCCGCGUAUAGGAAGAAGGUUUUCGGAUUGUAAACUAUUUUAGUCAGGGAAGAAAAAUGACAGUACCUGAAGAAUAAGCUCCGGCUAACUACGUGCCAGCAGCCGCGGUAAUACGUAGGGAGCAAGCGUUAUCCGGAUUUAUUGGGUGUAAAGGGUGCGUAGACGGGAAGACAAGUUGGUUGUGAAAGCCCUCGGCUCAACUGAGGAACUGCAACCAAAACUAUCAUUCUUGAGUGCGGGAGAGGAAAGUGGAAUUCCUAGUGUAGCGGUGAAAUGCGUAGAUAUUAGGAGGAACACCAGUGGCGAAGGCGGCUUUCUGGACGACAACUGACGCUGAGGCGCGAAAGUGUGGGGAGCAAACAGGAUUAGAUACCCUGGUAGUCCACACCGUAAACGAUGGAUACUAGGUGUAGGGAACGAUAUGUUUUCUGUGCCGAAAGCAAACGCAAUAAGUAUCCCACCUGGGGAGUACGGCCGCAAGGUUGAAACUCAAAGGAAUUGACGGGGGCCCGCACAAGCAGUGGAGUAU
rnacentral:rRNA from 1 species